rnacentral:rRNA from 1 species
ACGGAAGGCAGCAGUCGGGAAUAUUGCGCAAUGGAGGAAACUCUGACGCAGUGACGCCGCGUAUAGGAAGAAGGUUUUCGGAUUGUAAACUAUUGUCGAUAGGGAAGAUAAAAGACUGUACCUAUCAAGAAAGCUCCGGCUAACUACGUGCCAGCAGCCGCGGUGAUACGUAGGGAGCAAGCGUUAUCCGGAAUUAUUGGGUGUAAAGGGUGCGUAGACGGGAUAUCAAGUUAGUUGUGAAAUCCCCCGGCUCAACUGGGGAAUUGCAACUAAAACUAAUAUUCUUGAGUGCAGGAGAGGAAAGUGGAAUUCCUAGUGUAGCGGUGAAAUGCGUAGAUAUUAGGAAGAACAUCGGUGGCGAAGGCGACUUUCUGGACUGUAACUGACGUUGAGGCACGAAAGUGUGGGGAGCAAACAGGAUUAGAUACCCUGGUA